CCUACGGGGGGCAGCAGUGGGGAAUAUUGCACAAUGGGCGCAAGCCUGAUGCAGCCAUGCCGCGUGUGUGAAGAAGGCCUUCGGGUUGUAAAGCACUUUCAGCGGGGAGGAAGGCGGUGAGGUUAAUAACCUCAUCGAUUGACGUUACCCGCAGAAGAAGCACCGGCUAACUCCGUGCCAGCAGCCGCGGUAAUACGGAGGGUGCAAGCGUUAAUCGGAAUUACUGGGCGUAAAGCGCACGCAGGCGGUCUGUCAAGUCGGAUGUGAAAUCCCCGGGCUCAACCUGGGAACUGCAUUCGAAACUGGCAGGCUGGAGUCUUGUAGAGGGGGGUAGAAUUCCAGGUGUAGCGGUGAAAUGCGUAGAGAUCUGGAGGAAUACCGGUGGCGAAGGCGGCCCCCUGGACAAAGACUGACGCUCAGGUGCGAAAGCGUGGGGAGCAAACAGGAUUAGAUACCCGGGUAGUC
rnacentral:rRNA from 1 species